UNAUNNNGCGUGGUUGCCUAUACAUGCAAGUCGAGCGAACUGAUUAGAAGCUUGCUUCUAUGACGUUAGCGGCGGACGGGUGAGUAACACGUGGGCAACCUGCCUGUAAGACUGGGAUAACUCCGGGAAACCGGAGCUAAUACCGGAUAACAUUUUCUCUUGCAUAAGAGAAAAUUGAAAGAUGGUUUCGGCUAUCACUUACAGAUGGGCCCGCGGUGCAUUAGCUAGUUGGUGAGGUAACGGCUCACCAAGGCAACGAUGCAUAGCCGACCUGAGAGGGUGAUCGGCCACACUGGGACUGAGACACGGCCCAGACUCCUACGGGAGGCAGCAGUAGGGAAUCUUCCGCAAUGGACGAAAGUCUGACGGAGCAACGCCGCGUGAGUGAUGAAGGCUUUCGGGUCGUAAAACUCUGUUGUUAGGGAAGAACAAGUACAAGAGUAACUGCUUGUACCUUGACGGUACCUAACCAGAAAGCCACGGCUAACUACGUGCCAGCAGCCGCGGUAAUACGUAGGUGGCAAGCGUUAUCCGGAAUUAUUGGGCGUAAAGCGCGCGCAGGCGGUUUCUUUAUUCUGAUGUGAAAACCCACAUUUCAACCCCGUU
rnacentral:rRNA from 1 species